GAAUACACCUGAACUGCAAUAUAACCAAGACAACUGUGACCACCAGUGUAUAAUUGCUUUUUUCUGUAUACAGAGAUAAAUGAAUAAUGGAAAGUAUUCAGCUGAAUCUCAACUUUAAGAAAAUAAAAGCUUGAAGUGAAGAUGUUUCUGUUAAAGAGAAGAGGGAACUCUUCUGUAGUUACAGAGGAUUUGAGAAGCAACAGUUCUGUCAUCACCUUAUAAAGCCAUUCAGAGGAAAUGGUUGCUGACCAGAUGAUGAGAAUUACCCCGAGUGGCAAUGCCAAACUUGUUCUAAAUAAACAGCUUGUCUGUUUUGCCAUGUUGAGGAACUGAUGUGUUCUGAAAAAUGUCAGUUCUGCCAUUCAGUUUGAAAGAGAUUCAAGAUGUAGUCUAGUCCGGACCCUUCUCUGAAUGACACUGGGAUUUCUUCCUUCUGUACAAUGGAGAAGUGUAGUGGUCCAAAAAACUGUCUGGGGACAGAGAUCAAUCGUCACACAACCUCAAGGGAAUUACAGCUCAGACCUGCAUCAUUCACUACAGCCUAUCCCACAGCAUCCUGUCUCUAGCCACAGCUUCCCCACCUACCAUGCAAGGACCCUUCUGGGAAGGCAGCCCAUGGACGUGCAGUAAAAGUUGGCUGGUUGGCUGGGAAGCGGAGAGGAGAGGAAAUCAUCACUGCUAUGCAACAAUCGUGAGCUUUGUGAGGGUUUCAAGACUGCCAGAAGUGGUAGGGUGAAACAGAUUUUUGAAAUCAGAAAGCAAACUAAAAAUACCUGUAUAACUAAACAAAGGCUUAAUGGCUAGAUGUCUAAUUCAUUACUUUAAAUAUUUUCCAGUGUGUACAAGACAUUAUGACAGAUUUUAAUUUCUCAUAAACUAAAAAAAAAAUCUCAUAAAUUAAAUUUUUCAGAAAUGUUAAGAGAAAAUUAUAGUGAUAGUAUGAGCUGAUGGUGCUGGCCAGCUUUGAGCUUGUCAUUUAGCUAAGAUUGUAGUCAAGAACAGAAAGAGUUUUAAGAGUAUCACUGAUUUCAGUAGGCAUUACAUGGAUGUUCUUAUCUGUCAUUACUGUCUGUGGUUACUAUAAGCUUCAACUAACAAAAAAUUAAAUUAAUUUUGAGACUAGGCUGAGACUGUGCUGUCUGUGAUGGUGGUUUGUAAGUGAUGUCUCUUUAUCUUUACCCAUGAGCUUUUCC
rnacentral:lncRNA from 1 species